CGGGUUGUGGCUCAGCUUGGUAGAGCACUGCGUUCGGGACGCAGGGGUCGUGGGUUCAAAUCCCGCCAACCCGAC
rnacentral:tRNA from 1 species